rnacentral:rRNA from 1 species
CCCAGACUCCUACGGGAGGCAGCAGUGAGGAAUAUUGGUCAAUGGGCGCGAGCCUGAACCAGCCAAGUCGCGUGAGGGAUGACGGCCCUACGGGUUGUAAACCUCUUUUGUCGGGGAGCAAAUUCCGCCACGUGUGGCGGAGUCGAGAGUACCCGGAGAAAAAGCAUCGGCUAACUCCGUGCCAGCAGCCGCGGUAAUACGGAGGAUGCGAGCGUUAUCCGGAUUUAUUGGGUUUAAAGGGUGCGUAGGCGGGAUGCCAAGUCAGCGGUAAAAAUGCGGUGCUCAACGCCGUCGAGCCGUUGAAACUGGCGUUCUUGAGUGGGCGAGAAGUAUGCGGAAUGCGUGGUGUAGCGGUGAAAUGCAUAGAUAUCACUCAGAACUCCGAUUGCGAAGGCAGCAUACCGGCGCCCAACUGACGCUGAAGCACGAAAGCGUGGGUAUCGAACAGGAUUAGAUACCCCAGUAUA